rnacentral:sRNA from 1 species
ACACGGAUUGGAGGUGGUUCGAGGAUAUGAAUAGCUCUUGGACUUGUGAGGUGGCUGUCCGCUAGCCGCAAGGCUCAGCUAGUGGCAGCGAAUUCCCGCAGCCACCCGACCCGCAGGGCGUCGAGUUGUCCACUCGACCGUGCUCCUACUCUCCGGAGGCGAGCGCAGCCCUGCGGGUCGUCCACG